UACGAGUGCCCCGAGCGUUAUCCGGAAUCAUUGGGCGUAAAGGGUGUGUAGGGGGCAGUGUUAGUCGUCUGUUAAAACCUGGGGCUUAACCCCAGAUGUGCGGACGAAACGGCACAGCUAGAGGAUGCGAGGGAUCUGUGGAACUCAUGGAGUAGGGGUGAAAUCCGUUGAUAUCAUGGGGAACACCGGUGGCGAAGGCGGGUCUCUGGGCAGUAACUGACGCUGAGGAGCGAAAGCGUGGGGAGCGAACAGG
rnacentral:rRNA from 1 species